rnacentral:lncRNA from 1 species
AGUUGAUCACUGUAGAAGGUCGGUUGAUAGUGAGGCCCAGAGAGCUUUUGGAGCGGCCCGACAGAUGGAUGGAGAAGCUCAUUAUCGGAGAAGUCCGAAUAGUAUUAUGGAAGCUCGGACGGUCGAGGGGGUUCAAAGAGAUGCUACACAAAAUCGGAAGCCGGAAAAGCCCUGGAAGGGUUGGUCUUUUACAAACUUUGGCUGGGGGGUAUUUUAUACCCAACACAUAUUAAUAAGGGAUCAGAAGUCAUAUACCAAACAUGAAGAUAAAGAUCUGGUAAUAAAAAGAUCUCUACAAGACUCUAAACUAGAAGCCCUCUAACGGUGAUCCACACGGGAC